rnacentral:rRNA from 1 species
UACGUAGGGUGCGAGCGUUGUCCGGAAUUACUGGGCGUAAAGAGCUCGUAGGUGGUUUGUCGCGUUGUCCGUGAAAACUCACAGCUUAACUGUGGGCGUGCGGGCGAUACGGGCAGACUGGAGUACUGCAGGGGAGACUGGAAUUCCUGGUGUAGCGGUGGAAUGCGCAGAUAUCAGGAGGAACACCCAUGGCGAAGGCAGCAAACUGGGCAUCAUCUGACGCUGAGGCGCGAAAGCGUGGGUAGCAAACAGG